rnacentral:piRNA from 1 species
UAAGGCACUGUUCUGUUCAUG